GGCCCGGCGGCGGCCUCCCCCCCUUCUUUCCGUUUCCUUCCCUUCUACGCUGUGCCCUGAGCUCCCUACGAAGGGCCACGCUGCUCGUAGCCCAUGUUUCCGUGGGAAUAAGAAGCCGCGAGCGGCCUUCGCUGGGUGCGCGGUGCUGCUGAGGGAACACCCUGCGGCCGCGCUGCCCCCGGCUGACCCUCACUGUCUUUUCCUCUUUCCUCAGGCUGUGCUGACGCCUGACCCGGCCUGGCCCCAUCCAGCUCGCUCCUGCCUUCUAAAGUUGAAAAGUUUUGGAGUGCAGCAGUGAUUUGUAAGAUUGCUCCUCUAAGCAGAAAAUUCCUCCGGCUGCUGAACACGGUAAGAACGGCUACAAGGUCGCAGAGACCUCCGGUUUGUGAAAAACAUUCCGGUAAGUCACGUGGCAGUUGGGUGAAACGUGCGGGAAUGCGGAGACUUGCAAGUGCAUGGUGUUGUCAUGGAAACUGCAACCCUAGAAUGGGAAGAAAAAAGGGCAGCGGAGACAAGCCACGGUGCAAUCACCGUGAGACUUGAAACACACCCCACCCCCACCCCCCCCGAGCGCUGUAGAUCCAUGGUGGUGACUAUUUUUGCAACUCUAUCCUGAAUGCUUGCUUGAUUUCUGCUUUUUAAUUCUAUCGCUACUAUUUUUUUUUAUUUUUGAUAAUAAAAGUUGGUUUGGGUUUAUGGCAUUUGGUCUCGUUUGUGUCUUAAUCUCGCUCUACAGAUCAUAUCGAAAGCCUCCCCUGACACUGGACUGGGGGCAGAUGGAUGGGGAAAAGAGGUCGAUUCCUGACCCUAAGGGAGCUGGGGAAAAAAAUCACUGGUGAAAUGGAGUGGAACAGUAUUUGUUGGGGUAGCUUGAGGCCUUAUUUGUGCAGUAAUGGAAUUGCACAAAACAGCAGAAACAGGCUUGGUGGAAAGUCACAAAGGCCUCGGCUUAGACCCCUGUAAUCCCCCAUUCUUUCCAGUUCAUCAGCCCCAGAGCAGACUUUAGCCCUCUUAAGGCGGGUGGUGGAGCACUGGGGGAAGGCACAUGGCACGCUGUUUCAGGACUGGGAACACGUGGCUGGACUUCAUCGGCAAAUAGCUACGGGGUUGUGUGCUGCUUGCUAAGCAGUAAGGUUUCUUAAUUUUACCGUUUUUUUAAAUUGUUGCAAAUAUUGGUGAGUGAUUGUGAUGAGAUGCUCACAACAGA